UGGGGAAUUUUGGACAAUGGGGGAAACCCUGAUCCAGCCAUCCCGCGUGUGCGAUGAAGGCCUUCGGGUUGUAAAGCACUUUUGGCAGGAAAGAAACGUCGCGGGUUAAUACCCCGCGAAACUGACGGUACCUGCAGAAUAAGCACCGGCUAACUACGUGCCAGCAGCCGCGGUAAUACGUAGGGUGCAAGCGUUAAUCGGAAUUACUGGGCGUAAAGCGUGCGCAGGCGGUUCGGAAAGAAAGAUGUGAAAUCCCAGAGCUUAACUUUGGAACUGCAUUUUUAACUACCGGGCUAGAGUGUGUCAGAGGGAGGUGGAAUUCCGCGUGUAGCAGUGAAAUGCGUAGAUAUGCGGAGGAACACCGAUGGCGAAGGCAGCCCCCUGGGAUAACACUGACGCUCAUGCACGAAAGCGUGGGGAGCAAACAGGAUUAGAUACCCUGGUAGUCCACGCCCUAAACGAUGUCAACUAGCUGUUGGGGCCUUCGGGCCUUGGUAGCGCAGCUAACGCGUGAAGUUGACCGCCUGGGGAGUACGGUCGCAAGAUUAAAACUUAAAUGAAUUGACGGGGUCAUAGCUGUUU
rnacentral:rRNA from 1 species